UACAGAGGGUGCGAGCGUUAAUCGGAGUUACUGGGCGUAAAGGGCGCGUAGGCGGUUAUAUAAGAUUGAUGUGAAAUCCCUGGGCUUAACCUAGGAACUGCAUCGAUGACUGUAUGGCUGGAGUACUGUAGAGGGUAGUGGAAUUUCCGGUGUAGCGGUGAAAUGCGUAGAGAUCGGAAGGAACACCAGCGGCGAAGGCGGGUAGCUGGGCCAACACUGACGCUGAUGCGCGAAAGCUAGGGUAGCAAACGGG
rnacentral:rRNA from 1 species